rnacentral:rRNA from 1 species
ACUCAAAUGAAUAGACGGGGGCCCGCACAAGCGGCGGAGCAUGUGGCUUAAUUCGACGCAACGCGAAGAACCUUACCAAGGCUUGACAUAUGGUGAAAACUGGCAGAGAUGUCAGGUCCGCAAGGGCGCCAUACAGGUGGUGCAUGGUUGUCGUCAGCUCGUGUCGUGAGAUGUUGGGUUAAGUCCCGCAACGAGCGCAACCCUUGUUCUAUGUUGCCAGCGAGUAAUGUCGGGGACUCAUAGGAGACUGCCGGGGUCAACUCGGAGGAAGGUGGGGAUGACGUCAAAUCAUCAUGCCCCUUAGGUCUUGGGCUGCACACAUGCUACAAUGGCCGGUACAAAGGGCUGCGAAACCGCGAGGUAGAGCGAAUCCCAAAAAGCCGGUCUCAGUUCGGAUUGGGGUCUGCAACUCGACCCCAUGAAGUCGGAGUCGCUAGUAAUCGCAGAUCAGCAACGCUGCGGUGAAUACGUUCCCGGGCCUUGCACACACCGCCCGU